rnacentral:tRNA from 5 species
GGGUCGUUAGCUCAGUUGGUAGAGCAGUUGACUUUUAAUCAAUUGGUUGCAGGUUCGAAUCCUGCACGACCCACCA